AUGGUGAUUCCUCACCUUACUAAAAACUAUGGAGCUUCACGAGAUCCUCCCGAGAAACAGGCACCAAUGUGCACAGUUCAUUCUUUUCCGCACAAUAUUGACCAUUGUCUAAUAUGGGCUCGCUCAGAGUUUGAGGCUCUGGUAGAGAAAACCCCAAAUGAAGUGAACUCAUUUAUGUCUAAUCCUGCUGAAUGUACUGCUGCUAUGAGAAAGGCAGGUGAUGCUCAAAGCUAG
rnacentral:rRNA from 1 species